GCAGUUGCAAGCAAGCAAGCACGAAACCGACGGAGAAUCAACCAAUUAAAGGAUCAUAAAUCGAGCCGAGGGAUUCAGUUUUCAGGCGGUGAGCUCCUCUUCCUUGUGGGUCUCGAUGACGAGGUCCGACUGCGGGUAGGCGGCGCAGGUGAGCACCCACCCGGCGGCGACCUGGUCGUCGUCCAGGAAGCUCUGGUCCGACUGGUCCACCUCGCCGGAGACCACCUUGCCGGCGCACGACGAGCAGGAACCAGCCCGGCACGAGUAGGGCAGGUCGAUGCCUUCUUCCUCGGCGUGGUCCAGGAUGUACACGUCGUCGGGGACCUCCAGAUCCACCUCCCCCUCCGGCGUCACCAGCUUCACCUUGUACGUCGCCUGCGCACGAAGCCUCAUGCCCCUCGCCGACGGCGCCGUCAGCGGGAGCACCACACGGGACGAGACGGCCGAGGAAGGUGGAGGGGCGGCUGUGAAGAGGGAGAGGCUGCUCAGCGCGGUGGUCGCCAUUAUUGCAGCUGUGUAAGCUUUCUUGCGAGGAGGAGGAUGGUGUUGGAGAGUGUAUGCAGUAAGCUCUAGCUGGACUGGAGGGGAUGAUGAAGAAGAAGAAGCAGAGGAUGUCCUAGAGGGUGCCACGUGGCCCCUGCAGGUGCUCAGGCUUAUCCUUAAGCUCGGAGCGACCACGGCCACACGAUGAAGGGAUGGACGUCGAUCCACGAGGGCGUGUGGAGGCCAUGCGAUGUAUCCAAUGCGAUUUUGAUCGAUGCACGGCGGCCGUCACAUUUUGGUUUGAGUCAAGCUAGAGAACCUGAUAUGCUGUAAAUUCUUCUAUCUAUAAAUAUUUCGCGACUGGUUUUAGCGAUAGCGAUCAGUCGAUCGAGUGAGUCUAAAUUUCAGUCAGAAAAGAAAAAAAAUCACAAUGAUUUUAGCGAUCAGUCCGUCAUGUGUGACCGGACGAGAAGCCAAGAAGUACACCAGGUUUCACAUUCACAUCAAAAACAGACAAAAAAACUCGAGAUGGAAGCGAUCGUGCCGAGAGUGUGAGCAAAGAUCGCCUUAGUAGACAGUCAGCGGUCUCUCCUCCUCUUGGUCACGCAAAUGGACUUUAAAUUGAGCAGGUCAUGGAAUCCUUCGCUCGGGAACAAUGAACAUGAAAUGCCUUAAAAUUACAAUGCUCCGACCUUCAGUGCAGCUCACCUUUCGUGAGAAGUAAGGCUCCACCAAUCACCGCUGGCGAUGGCACUAGGCAUAUCAUGUCAAGAACAUGUCGAUGAGGCCGGGGAGAAAUGGCAGGACGGACGUCAUGGAGGAGCAGUGGGUGGCGCUAACCCUAGCAACACAAGCUAGGGACAAGGGCAUGUGUAGGCCAUGCGAUGUAUCCUGCGGGGGAGCGAUGGAUGGCCGGCCGGCCAAUGGGGAUGCAUGGUGGCCACCGCAUUUUGGAUCAGUUGAGUGAAGCCACAGAUCUCAUACACUGUUCUGUAAAAAUCUUCUAACCAGAAAUAUUGUUUCGACCGGUGUUAGCGAGAGCGAUCAGUCGACCGAGUGAGUCUAAUUUCAUACAGAGAAUUAUGCAGUUGUUUUUAGCGAGCAAUCAGUCCAUCGUGGCGAUUGGAUGAGAAACAAAGGAGUACAUUGGGCACAAGGUUUGACGUCUAGAUCAGAAACAAUAAAAAAACAUUGAGGUGGAAGCGAUUGGUCUCUCCUCCUCUUAGUUGCACAAGGACUUUAAAUUGAGCAAGCCUUUCAAUGAACAUGAAAUGCCUCGGAAUCACGAUGCUCCUACCUUAAGCGAGAAGCAGCACCAAUCAUUGCUGGCACUGGGUAGAUUGUGUCCAGAACAUGUCCACAAGGCCUAGGAGAAAUGGCAGGCUGGGCAUAAUGGAGGAGUAGUGGCCGGCGCUAACCCUAGCAGCACGUGCAAGGGGAAAGGGUCCGCGGCGGGGAUGCAUGUGGCGUAAGUCGACGGGUCGAGAGAUAUGCGAAGAAAACCUUAAGGAGCACUGAUCAAUCUAGGGAAACCAUGCGGGAUGCCAAUCGAUUCAUAAAAAAAAACGUGUGGUGGGUGCCGAUAGAACUAGGGUAAACCGUGCGGGAGGGUUGCCAAUCAAUCUAGGAAAAAUUGUAGCGGGAAGCAUGCGAGGGGUUCGGAACGAUGUAGAAAAAGCCAUGUUUUUUUUCUGAAAAAAGAAGAGGGGAUAAGCUCAUUGUACCAAGAGAAAAUUGAACUCGCAUCACUAACUCGCAUCACUACUUCGUAGCUAGUAAAAAUACCAUCAUUGCAGAGACACAUCACACACCUGCUGGCUCAACCAUCAAAUCCAUUAAUUUCAGUACGUACAUAAAUACUAGCAGCAGCAGCAGUAAUUUGACCGUAUGGAUCGAUCUCAGGCAGGGGUAGUACAAAAAAGAGGAACACAUAAUAUUACUUGAGCAUUUCAUUCAAGCUCGCUCGCACAGCAGCAACCAAAUCGAUGCACGAUAAGAUCCAUGGAGCUUAGAGAGAUUAUGAUAUCAUCAGACACUCUUGCAAAAGCUGAAGACUAAAAACUUAGGCGGUGAGCUCUUCUUCCUUGUGCGUCUCGAUGACGAGGUCGGACUUGGGGUAUGCGUGGCAGGUGAGCACCCACCCGGCCUCCAUCUGGUCGUCGUCGAGGAAGCUCUGGUCCGACUGGUCCACCUCGCCGGAGAUCACCUUGCCGGCGCACGACGAGCACGACCCGGCCCUGCACGAGUAGGGCAGGUCGAUCCCUUCUUCCUCGAAGUGGUCAAGGAUGUACACGUCGUCGGGGACCUCCAUCUCCACCUCCCCCUCCGGCGUCACCAGCUUCACCUUGUACGUCGCCUGAGCACGGAGCCGGAUGGCCCUCGCCGACGGCGUCAGGGGAAGCGCCACGCGGGAUGGGGCGACGAUUGGGGACGGCGCGGGGGCGGCGGAUGUGAAGAGGGAGAAGGGCGCGCGGAGGCUGCUCAGGGCGGUCGCCAUUGCUGCUGAGAGCUGAGAGCUUGCUUGCUUGCUUGUGUGGUGUGAGGAAGAAGAAGGAGGAUGAGCUAGGGGAUGGAUGAAGAGGGGGGAUAAGUAAGUAAAGGGGGGGGCUGUGUGCCACGUGGCGGGACG
rnacentral:lncRNA from 1 species